rnacentral:rRNA from 1 species
ACGGGGGGGGCAAGCGUUGUUCGGAAUUACUGGGCGUAAAGGGCUCGUAGGCGGUUUGUCGCGUCUGCCGUGAAAGUCCGGGGCUCAACUCCGGAUCUGCGGUGGGUACGGGCAGACUAGAGUGAUGUAGGGGAGACUGGAAUUCCUGGUGUAGCGGUGAAAUGCGCAGAUAUCAGGAGGAACACCGGUGGCGAAGGCGGGUCUCUGGGCAACAACUGACGCUGAGGAGCGAAAGCGUGGGGAGCGAACAGGA